AUUGAACGCUGGCGGCAGGCCUAACACAUGCAAGUCGAGCGGAGCGGCGUACGGGUGCGUAAUGCCUAGGAAUCUGCCUGGUAGUGGGGGAUAACGUCCGUAAACGGGCGCUAAUACCGCAUACUAUCAGAUGAGCCUAGUUCGGAUUAGCUAGUUGGUGGGGUAAAGGCCUACCAAGCCGACGAUCCGGAACUGGUCUGAGAGGAUGAUCAGUCACACUGGAACUGAGACACGGUCCAGACUCCUACGGGAGGCAGCAGUGGGGAAUAUUGGACAAUGGGCGAAAGCCUGAUCCAGCCAUGCCGCGUGUGUGAAGAAGGUCUUCGGAUUGUAAAGCACUUUCAGCGGGGAGGCGUUACCCGCAGAAGAAGCACCGGCUAACUCCGUGCCAGCAGCCGCGGUAAUAC
rnacentral:rRNA from 1 species